UUUCUCUCCCCACGCAUUCCAUUUCAGAAUGUUCAGUCCCAUUCUUCUUCGCUACGCCGGUGGUUCAACACUAAAUCCAGACGCCGGUGGUUGGUGAGAUGAUCCUAACACUGCACAUGUUGGGAUGCAGAAAAAGUAAACGGCAAUUUGCUACAAAGAUGAGUUUUUUCAUUCUUUAGAUUUAGAACAGAUUUCAAUCUUUUCCAGAUUUUUUGUUCAGGUUCAUGUUUGUAUAUAUUCAUAGGUUGACCGUAAAGCUUGAUACAUGCUAGACACAAAACUAUAUUGGUUCAUGGUUAUGUGAUUUAUUUUCUGACUAUGUUUGCAAAGGUCUGCCUAAGUGUGUACUAAGAUUUACUCUCUCCUGUGGUAGUUUUCAGUCAUACAUAAGAUUUUUAAAACAUCAGUGGUGUAAUAAUCAGAAUAGUAGAUAGAUUUACCUUUGUUUUGGUCCAGAUGCUUCCUCUUAGACCCAAUAGUGAUUGAAGAUGCAUGUAAUUUUCCUCAUGUUGUCUUGAGUAUGAAAAUACUGACUAUAUGUCUGGAGAGAUGGUUCUGAAAAUGUUUUCUGAUGAUGUAUGAAGUCUCUUUUAUAAUUUCAGAUUUAGAGAGGAAGGUCAUGGGUUUCUUUAAAACUGGUUCAGUGCAAAGUAAAAGAUUGAUCUUUAUUAUGCAUCUUAGAAUACUAAGAGUUUUAUGUGUGCUAUUUAUUGCAAAGUAUUCAAAUAAUUGUUAUCAAAUUUUGAAAAUAAAUCAUUUCUGCCAAUUUGAUUUAAUUAAUUUUAAGCAUGAGCCUAAAUAAAAUAGAUUUUUAUGUCCUUUUCCCAAUAAGUGUUAGCAAUUCUUGAAAACUUGCAAAUACUGAAGAUUAUUCAUAAUGUACAUCCUCUAUGAGUUUUCCUGCAAAAAGUUAGUUGUUUAUAGUUGUGUUUUAAUUCUGUUUAACUUAUCAUUUAUUGAUGAAUUUUCUUUUGCAAAUAAAGUUGAAUAAAAAUAUACAUAGUGCUGUGGUAGAAACACCUCAAGAUCCCUUGAAGUCAAUCAACAAUUGUCAUAAACAGUUGAAGCACAGAAGGUUCAGAACUUCUCCCUGGUUUCUGAGACGUGGAUUCUGAACAGACACGACAUUGAUGAAUUUAAUUGUGUAUCAACAAUGUAUUUAAUUUUUUAUUGAUUUGUAUUUGUAUAAUCUGAAAAGUUGCAUCCUUAUUUAUUCUUUUAAAUUAAAUAUAUCCUCUAAUAUUUUUAUGUA